UCCUGCGUUUGAGUCGUCUUGGCGGAGGUUGUGGUGACGCCAUCAUGGGAGCUCCGGCGCUGCCCCAGAUCUGGCAGCUGUACCUCAAGAACUACCGCAUCGCCACCUUCAAGAACUGGCCCUUCCUGGAGGACUGCGCCUGCACCCCAGAGCGAGUGAGUCCCAGCUUCCAGCGACUCCACCCUGGGCCCGACGGUGCCUUAGUUGUGUGACCCGGGAUCAGAACCCGCUAUCCCCACCCUCGCUUCGUACUGUUAGCCAGGCUGCUUUGCUCUGCUCUGUCCUCCACGAGGCCACCCCCCCCCCCCGCUCUCCCCACCCUCUGCCUGAACCACUGUUAGCCUCCGGGCCUCUUCCCACUGUCCUCAGUUCUCGGCCCGGAACGAUCUCUGGGAAUCAUGGGAUAAGGUCAGACUGUUGAUCCCGCUCACGAGCUGUCAUUUUCAGAUGGCGGAGGCUGGCUUCAUCCACUGCCCUACCGAGAACGAGCCUGAUUUGGCCCAGUGUUUUUUCUGCUUUAAGGAAUUGGAAGGCUGGGAACCCGAUGACAACCCGAUGUAAGUCCCACAGGCUACUCUCGGUGGGUUUCCUGGUGUUCCCCUUCCAUUGAGAGCCUUUUGGGUUGAACUGGAGUUGGGACAAACCAUUUGUAUUUAGUAGAAGAGCAUGCUUCUUGCUCAAGUGUUCCAGUUAUACAGCUCAGACUAGUCUUGAAUUCUCAAUUUCUGCCUUGGUUUCCUGAGUGUUGCCAACAUGCAUGGUUUUGCCUGAGGUUUUUUUGUUGUGUUUUGUUUUUGUUUUAAAACAGGGUUUGUCUGUGCAGCCUUGGCUGUCCUGGAACUCACUCUGUAGACCAGGCUGGCCUCGAACUCAGAAAUCCGCCUGCCUCUGCCUCCCAAGUGCUGGGAUUAAAGGCGUGCAGCACCACUGCCCAACCAAAUUUUUAAAUAUGUUAUUAUUACUUAAUUUAUAUUUCUAUUUGUGUAUGUUUGGAUGUGGGUGUCAUGGUGGAUGUUGGUGUCAAGACAGCUUGGGGGGAUAACUUCUCUCUUAUUGUGUUGGUCCCUGGAAUUGAGCUCAGGUGAGCAGGUUUGGCAGCAAGCAUCCUCACCUGGGCCAUUUCAGUGGCCCCUGUUUGGUUUCAGACCCCAGGAGUAGGAACUGAGGUGCUUAUUCUACAUAUCAAAGCAGACCUGGACUCCAGGCUCUCCCAGCAUCCCUCACUCCCUCCCUGGCAUACUUUGCCCCCAACUCUGAACUUCCAGCCCAGGAACUGGGCAGCCCUUCCCCCCAGAGGCUCCACCCUAUAUAAUCCAGGCAUUUUGGACUUCUCUUCUUCUCUCUCUACAUGUGUUCUUUCUCUCACCUUCCCAUGGUGACUCCCCUGGCCUCAGUCCUUGAGCCCAGUGAAUUCACCUGGGAGCAGCUUUCCAAUAAACCUGCAUUUCAUAACAUCUAAUCUGGCUUGAAUUGGUUCAUUUAACCAGCAGAGAAAUAAUUUAUAAUCCUGGACUAUGAUUCAUUAAAAACAGGUCUAUUGAAAUAUAAUCCAUCUACUGCAAAAAUCAGUAGCUUAGUGACUUUUUAAGGUCUUUUUAAAAAUC
rnacentral:lncRNA from 1 species